AUUUAGGUUCUAUGAAGUGUAUACUAGGGAUGCACCGAAUCAAGAUUUUUGGAGUUUGUCCGAAUACUGAAGCCACUGGCAGAGAUGGU